UUGAACUCAAAUCGGGUGAGACUACCCGGCUGAACUUAAGCAUACA
rnacentral:rRNA from 1 species